GUCUUUAAGAUUUUAAUUUAAAGUCUAAUCUGCCCAAUGAAUUUAUUUAAAUGGCUGCAGAAUUUUUUACUGUACUAAGGUAGCAUAAUAAUUUGUUUUUUAAUUAAAAACUAGAAUGAAAGAUUUAAUGAAAUAUAAACUGUUUCAAUUAAAUUUAAUUGAAUUUUUUAUUUAAGUAAAAAAACUUAAAUAAAUUUUUAAGACGACAAGACCCUAUAGAAUUUUAUUUUUUAUUUUUAAUUUUUUUUUAAAAUAAUAAAUUUUAUUGGGGUAAUAAAAAAAUUAAUAUAAUUUUUUUUAAAAAAUACAUUUUUAUUGAAUUAUAUAUCUUAAUAAUUUAAAUUAAAAAAAUUAAUUACCUUAGGGAUAACAGCAUAAUUUUUUUUAAAAGAUCUUAUUAAUAAAAAAGAUUAU
rnacentral:rRNA from 1 species